rnacentral:rRNA from 1 species
CUUAAAGGAAUUGACGGGGCCCGCACAAGCGGUGGAGCAUGUGGUUAAUUCGAAGCAACGCGAAGACCUUACCAGGUCUUGACAUCCCGAUGCUAUUUCUAGAGAUAGAAAGUUACUUCGGUACAUCGGUGACAGGUGGUGCAUGGUUGUCGUCAGCUCGUGUCGUGAGAUGUUGGGUUAAGUCCCGCAACGAGCGCAACCCCUAUUGUUAGUUGCCAUCAUUCAGUUGGGCACUCUAGCGAGACUGCCGGUAAUAAACCGGAGGAAGGUGGGGAUGACGUCAAAUCAUCAUGCCCCUUAUGACCUGGGCUACACACGUGCUACAAUGGUUGGUACAACGAGUUGCGAGUCGGUGACGGCGAGCUAAUCUCUUAAAGCCAAUCUCAGUUCGGAUUGUAGGCUGCAACUCGCCUACAUGAAGUCGGAAUCGCUAGUAAUCGCGGAUCAGCACGCCGCGGUGAAUACGUUCCCGGGCCUU